GUUGAUAGCUGGACACUUGUUGCUUUCCUGCAUAAAAGAAAAGAAAAACAAAAUAAAACGAUUGUUUCCAGAUGUUGUGAUUAUUUUGCUAAUUAC